UUUCUGCCAGAUCCUUUUACACGUUAGUCAUAGUUAUUUUAAGGUCCUCAAUAGGUUUCCCCCAGAGAAAGAGAGCCACCGGUGUAUAUAUAGAAAGAGAACUGUAGUGGUUUAUUGUGUGCCCUUAUGAAGAUGAAUGUCCUAGUCUGUUGUCUUCACGGAGGCCCAGUGGCAGGAUUCCAGCCCCAGCCCAGAGUACUGAGUGCACAGGGAACCAAUGUGUGAUUAGCAAGCCAACUCCUGGGAGCACAAACACCUAAUCCAGAACGGGAACACAUUCGCCGAAGUCAAGCUCCAACUUGCCUAUCCUGCACUGUGGGGCUUGAUUUGAAGCCUUGAGAAGAUUGACGAUGCCCGUUUGUAUUGGCAUGAGCACCUAAGUUCAGAGUUGGAUUCCUAGGAUCCAAGUUGAAACCAAACCAAACCAACAACAAUAGCAACGACAGAAGCUGAGUGUGAUGGUUGGAUGCUGGUAAUCCCAGUACUGUGGAGGCAGAGACGGGCAGAUCCCUGGGACUUUCUGAGCAGCCACCCAGACCUACUCAGGGGUGAACUUCAAAGAGUGAGCCUGUCUCAGAAAAAGGUAGAGGAAUGCUAAGGAGUGAUUACCAAAGUUGCCUUCUGACGUCUGCAGCUGCACGUGCAUUUUUCUGUGCAUCACAUGAGUAUGACACCCACCACAUACAUACACACUCACACAACCUGUAGGUAUCAUGUUGAAUUGGAGAUGGAGAGAUCGUUCAGUGGUUCUUCCAGAGGGCCAGGAUUCAAUUUCCAGUACUCAUGUGCCAAUUAAAACCCACAGGGUUCCAUGGGAUCCGAUACCCAUCCCUGGCUAACACACACAGCACGUGCAUGUAGAACACAGACAUACAUGCAGGCAAAACAACUAAACACACACAAAACAUAACUAAAUAAGAUAGCUAAAAGUUUUUUAAAAUAUGCUUCUGGCCUUUGUAAUCAUCUUUCAGUCACUCACCAAAAGUAUCCUUUUAACACGAUAAACACCAGGCAAGUGCAGAGGAGCCCACAACGUGUUCUCCGGGCCUUUUUGGAAACAGAAGCUGUUCCUUUGUCCACAAACAUGCGGAUCUACAAAAAGGGUGAUAUGGUAGACGUCAAAGGAGUUAGCACUGUUCAAAAAGAAAGACGGCAGGUGCCUACAACAUCAUGGUGUAUGUCGUGGGCAGCGUCGUAAACAAGCCAGUCCAGGGCAAGAGAACUAAUGUGCAGAUUGAGCCCAUUAAGCACCAUGACAGGCACCUGAAAUCAGCGAAGGAAAACCAUCAGAAGAAAGGAAGCCAAAGAGAAAGGCGUCCGGGAUCAGCUGAAGCGCCAGCCUGCUCCACCCACAGAGGUACAGUAUGUGGAGAGACCACAAAGGAGCGGAGCUCGAGUUGCUGGAGUCUGGUCCCUCUGAAUUCAGCUCUCAACGUGCAAAAAGACCUAGAAC
rnacentral:lncRNA from 1 species